CUACUUUGCUCCAUGAAGGUAAAUAUGCUCCAAAUUUAAAAAAAGAUUAUUUCGAUUAAAUCUCUUAAUAUACGGAGAUGUUUAAAAAUUUUUGAACGCGUCCGAUAUAUGUUUUAUAAGAUUGGCAACACUGAAUAAGCACUUCCGGUUUUUGACAUUUCUUUUCUUCGUUAGCAGCCAUUAACAACAGACGAGCGAUUCUUAAAAAAAAAAAUAGUCUGCAAAAUCCACCUUCAUCGACGAAUAUACUCAGAUAUUUGAGGAAAAUGCCUCGGAAUUAUGUAAGGAAAAUGCC